rnacentral:lncRNA from 10 species
AUCACAUCCCCUCACGGCAUCCCUCUUGACCUUCUGGACCGAGUGAUGAUAAUCCGGACCAUGCUGUAUACUCCACAGGAAAUGAAACAGAUGGAGUUUCUCUCUUGUUGCCCAGGCUGGAGUGCAACGGCCCAAUCUCAGCUCACUGCAACCUCCGCCUCCCGGGUUCAAGCAAUUCUCCUGCCUCAGCCUCCUGAGUAGCUGGGAUUACAGGCAUGUGCCACCACACCCACCUAAUUUUUGUCUUUUUAGUAGAGAUGGGGUUUCGCCAUGUUGGUCAGGCUGGUCUUAAACUCCAGACCUCAGGUGAUCCACCUGCCUCCGCCUCCCAAAGUGCUGGGAUUACAGGCGUGAGCCAUUGUGUCCUGCCAAAAUCAGGACGUUUCGUACAAGGAUCUGAGUUCUGAGCCUGUCUUGAGAAAAGGGAAGACUGCAGACAACACCUUGCAGCAGUGGUGGCCGCGGGUGGAGGGGCUGCCUCCCCAGGGUGUUUGCUGGCCAAGCAUUUCACCCUCACCUGGCUCAUCGCAGCCGCUCUGUCCUGCUGGGGCUUUCCAAGGCCUU